rnacentral:misc_RNA from 1 species
GAUGAAGAACGUAUCGAAAUGCGAUAAGUAGUGUGAAUUGCAGAAUUCAGUGAAUCAUCGAAUCUUUGAACGCACAUUGCGCCCCUUGGUAUUCCAUGGGGCAUGCCUGUUCGAGCGUCAUUUGUACCUUCAAGCUCUGCUUGGUGUUGGGUGUUUGUCUCGCCUCUGCGCGUAGACUCGCCUCAAAACAAUUGGCAGCCGGCGUAUUGAUUUCGGAGCGCAGUACAUCUCGCGCUUUGCACUCAUAACGACGACGUCCAAAAGUACAUUUUUACACUCUUGACCUCGGAUCAGGUAGGGAUACCCGCUGAACUUAAGCAUAUCAAUAAGCGGAGGA